rnacentral:rRNA from 1 species
UACGUAGGGUGCAAGCGUUAAUCGGAAUUACUGGGCGUAAAGCGUGCGCAGGCGGUUGUGUAAGUCAGAUGUGAAAUCCCCGGGCCCAACCUGGGAAUUGCAUUUGAGACUGCACGGCUAGAGUGUGUCAGAGGGGGGUAGAAUUCCACGUGUAGCAGUGAAAUGCGUAGAGAUGUGGAGGAAUACCGAUGGCGAAGGCAGCCCCCUGGGAUAACACUGACGCUCAUGCACGAAAGCGUGGGGAGCAAACAGG